CCCCAGCACCACAAGUGGGGAUCGUAUUUAUUUGGUCUAAAGCGCUCGUAGCCGGUUUUGUAAAUCUCUUGUGAAAUCGUUGCGCUUAACGUAACGGCGUGCAGGGGAAACUGCAAGACUAGGGACUGGGAGGCGUCGAGGGUAUUCUUGGGGGAGCAGUAAAAUGCUAUAAUCCUAAGAAGACCACCUGUGGCGAAGGCGCUCGGCGAGAACAGGUCCGACGGUGAGGGGCGAAAGCUAGGGGA
rnacentral:rRNA from 1 species